UUGAYCUCAAAUCAGGUAGGACUACCCGCUGAACUUAAGCAUAUC
rnacentral:rRNA from 1 species